rnacentral:rRNA from 1 species
CUACGGGAUGCAGCAGUCGAGAAUAGUCUACAAUGGACGAAAGUCUGAUAGUGCGACGCCGCGUGGAUGAAGAAGCAUUUCGGUGUGUAAAGUCCUUUUCUGUGUGAGCAAUGUUUUCCAGGUUAAUAGCUUGGAGAAAGCGAUAUUAACACAGGAAUAAGCUCCGGCUAACUCCGUGCCAGCAGCCGCGGUAACACGGGGGGAGCAAGCGUUGUCCGGAAUUACUAGGCGUAAAGGGUAAGUAGGCGGAAUUGUAAGUCAGAUGUUAAAGGCACCGGCUCAACCGGUGUAUGGCAUUUGAUACUGUAAUUCUAGAGUAAGGUGGGGGAAGACGGAAUUCCUGGUGUAGCGGCGGAAUGCGCAGAUAUCAGGAGGAACACCAGAGGCGCAGGCGGUCUUCUAUACCAUUACUGACGCUCAAUUACGAAGGUGUGGGUAUCAAACAGGAUUAGAUACCCGCGUAGUC